rnacentral:lncRNA from 13 species
AUAACUGGACAGGAGCAGUGCUUCAUGCCCGUAAUCCCAGCACUUCGGGAGUCCAAGGUGCGCUGAUCACGAAGUUAAGAGAUUGAGACCAUCUUGGCCAACAUGGUGAAAUCCCAUCUCUACCGAAAAUAGAAAAAUUAGCUGGGCAGGUGGCGCCUGCCUGUAGUCCUAGCUACUCGGCAGGCUGAGGCAGGAGAAUCGCUUGAAGCUGGGGGGCAGAUGUUGCAGUAAGCCGAGAUUGUACCACUGCUCUCCAGCCUGGAGAAAGAGCGAGACUCUGUUUCAAGAAAGAGAAGACAAACAAACAAACUAACUAAUAAGAAUAGAAAAACACCUUAACUACAAAACAUGAAAGAUAUAAAAAUAAAGAUGGGCAAAACACAGAAAAUAAAAGGAAAACAUAAUAACGACAUGACCUUGAUAAAAUAAAUUUCUUAUUUAAAAUAUUUGCUUAUAAAUCUAACAAAUAAAUAUCUUAAGAUACAUUACCUAAUAUGUUUGCUGACUUUUAAAUGAGAGAUGUAGUUUUAGAGUGAUUUGGUAUUUUUGCAUAAAACUCACUAAAAAAAUAAAAGAAUAUUGCUAAUAUAUGUGGGUCUUUUUCUUUUUAGUGUUUUCCAAAUUAUUAAGAAGCCCCUACUAUGUACUGGGCCCACCUCUAAGCUUCAGGAGAAAAAUAGUAAAAUAGGGCUCUGGUGUUUAGAACUUGCAGUCUGAGUCAAUGGUUAGACAUCUAAACAGAUAUGAUAUCAUGAGGAGCUGUAGAUCCCGGAAAGCUGGUAGUGCCAUUCAGUCUAAGUGUGAAGGUCUGAGAACCAGAGGAACUACUGACGUAGAUGCCAGUUCCAGAAUGAGAGAAGAUGAGAUGUUCAGUCAAGCAAUGGGACAGAAAAGAAAAUGAGAGGUUGAGAGCAGAUCACUCUUUCCUCUGCUGGCUGUUCCAUUCAAGGCUUCAACAGAUUGGACAAUGAUACCCAGCACACUGGGAGGGCAAUCUACUGUAGUGAAUUAUCCAAUUCCAAUGCUAAUCUCUUCCAUGAACACCCUCUCAGACACACUAGAAAUAAUGAUUUGUCUGGGCACACCAAACCUCAGUCAUGUUAAUGGAUGAAAUGAACCAUUACAUCCUCUUUUCUGAAUUUACCAUGAAAUUGUAUGAGGUGAAAUAUGUAAAGUGCUUGGUAUGAUACCUUGUACAUAAUAAGUAUUAUGUAAGUGAAUGCUUUGUCACUAACAUUACUAUUUGAAUUACUAAUAAUAUUCAUGAUACUAUUAAUAUUCUCUUGGAAAGCAUAUAAAGUAUGUGGGAUUACUCUGAUCUCCUAUAUUCCUAAUAUUUAUAUCACUUGUUCUCUGCUUUUUUGUAAGGUAUCCUUCUUUUUUUGGCUGUUACCACAUUAAGGGUAAAAUUCUGUCUUAGGGAUUCAAAAUGCUUUUCUUUCUGAAACCUGGAAAAUUGUCUCGAUAACCAGAUCUUCAUGAUAUAGAACAUAUCCUUAUAUUAGGUCAAUUAAUACAUUUACUAGAUUUAUAUAGUCCAUUGAUACCCUCUAUGCUGGGUAUCAAUGAUGUUACUUAUCAAUCUAUAAAUCUAACUAGAAGUAGAUAUGAGGGGCAACUAAACUUUUGAUAUGUUAUUUAUAUGGCCCAUUUCAUAAGUGUAUAAUUUUUCAUACUUGUUUAUCUUUGGAUUUACUUAGCUCAUAUGACAGAGUUGAUUUAUCCUAUUUUUCUUGUCACUAAAUUAGAUCCUCCUAUCUGAGACAGAAUCUGAAGAGCAGCCACAACUGAAGAAUAGCUACUGCUAUUAAACAUGCAAUUACCUUGCUUGAAAUAACAGGAACUAGACACAGUCAUUUACAGG